GACGAACGCUGGCGGCGUGCUUAACACAUGCAAGUCGAGCGGUAAGGCCUCUUUUGGGGUACACGAGCGGCGAACGGGUGAGUAACACGUGGGUGACCUGCCCCCUACUUCGGGAUAAGCUUGGGAAACUGGGUCUAAUACCGGAUAUGACUGCUGGUUGCAUGGCUGGUGGUGGAAAGUGUUAGCGGUGGGGGAUGGGCCCGCGGCCUAUCAGCUUGUUGGUGGGGUGAUGGCCUACCAAGGCGGCGACGGGUAGCCGGCCUGAGAGGGCGACCGGCCACACUGGGACUGAGACACGGCCCAGACUCCUACGGGAGGCAGCAGUGGGGAAUAUUGCGCAAUGGGCGGAAGCCUGACGCAGCGACGCCGCGUGGGGGAUGACGGCCUUCGGGUUGUAAACCUCUUUCGCCAUCGACGAAGCUUCCCGUGUGGGGGGUGACGGUAGGUGGAGAAGAAGCACCGGCCAACUACGUGCCAGCAGCCGCCGUAACAC
rnacentral:rRNA from 1 species